rnacentral:rRNA from 1 species
GACGAACGCUGGCGGCGUGCCUAAUACAUGCAAGUAGAACGCUGAAGGAGGAGCUUGCUUCUCUGGAUGAGUUGCGAACGGGUGAGUAACGCGUAGGUAACCUGCCUGGUAGCGGGGGAUAACUAUUGGAAACGAUAGCUAAUACCGCAUAAUAGUAGAUGUUGCAUGACAUUUGCUUAAAAGGUGCAAUUGCAUCACUACCAGAUGGACCUGCGUUGUAUUAGCUAGUUGGUGAGGUAACGGCUCACCAAGGCAACGAUACAUAGCCGACCUGAGAGGGUGAUCGGCCACACUGGGACUGAGACACGGCCCAGACUCCUACGGGAGGCAGCAGUAGGGAAUCUUCGGCAAUGGACGGAAGUCUGACCGAGCAACGCCGCGUGAGUGAAGAAGGUUUUCGGAUCGUAAAGCUCUGUUGUAAGAGAAGAACGAGUGUGAGAGUGGAAAGUUCA